ACUUCAGGCUUCAUGAAGCCUUCUUUCUUCCCCUUCCUCAGGGCCCGUUAUGGGUUUGCCGGCCUUCUGGACUCUAACAGGGCUUACCAUCUGUGCCCGUCCUUUGGCAAAAUUACUUCCCUCUGUCGACACACUCGAUUGCCAUCCAGGAAAUAAACAGCCCUGACACCAUGCUCCAGCCCCCUGGGAACUGAAUCCAACACGUCCAGCACUUGGCAUUGAAGUGAAGCAAUGAAGUCUAUCACAACUCUGGGCCGUCUAAGCUUCUCCAGCGGCUGCCAGGGACUGCUCACUCCACGGAGCCAGCGGGCUUGCCCUCGCUGCCAGGCGGGCCGCGGCAGUUCCAGCUUCCUGUUGCCUUAGGGACCGAGACAAAGAAAAAUGAAGAGACCCCAGACAUCUUUCCCCUCCCUCCCUCUUGCAGCAGGGAGCUAGCAGGACACUAGGACCAGUCUGUGGGCUAGAAUGGACUUCAUGGGGACUGAAGGGGGAGGGAAGCUGCAAGGGGAGGGGAAGAUCUAUGACCCCAACUAUAUGCCUUUCUUGCAUCCCGCUGUCAUCCCAAAAGUAACUGGCCUGAUUUUUAGCAGUGUGGCCAUCUUCUGGUGUGGGUAACCGUCCCUGGGUGUGUCACCUCCAUACCUCCAAAUGCCUCCCCUGUAUCGAUUCAGUUGCCAUUGCAGCUGUCUGCUUCAUGUAUGGAACAGGAGGCUCAGAUGUUUCCCUCCCCUGUAACCUGGGGAAUAUCGGAGGCAGGUAAUAAAGGUUGUUUAAGCAAUA